UCUGGAGGAGCAGGAUCAUAGUCAGCCUGUCUCCACAUAACCUACCUCUGCUUUUUUCAUUGCAGAUAAAUGGCACAGUGCUCCUGUUCACCAGAAUUGGGAUAUUCUAUAUGGUGCUGGAUGCCUGCUCAGGAGCAGUCAUGGAUAGGCAGCACUUUGGCACAGUUACCAGUGGAAAUUCUGCCUGUGCAGCAACUGAAAUGUUCAAACAUCCAUAAAAGAGAGGGAGUUUUGCCACGCUUGGCUGUAAAGGACAAGCCAAACCACCCUGGAUUAAAGUCUUUAAUCAUGCUAGUUAUCAGAAAGCUGCUUCUCUACAGUAUUAUGUUUCCUUGAAGCUGAAAAAAAUAUCACUGCCCUGAUAAUACUGUUGAAUUGCUAAAAUUUGCUUUUUCUCGGACGUGCUUGGAGCUCAUGCCUGCAAAGGCUGGGGUGCCCUGGGGUUAGCACUGCUGGGGAGCACCAGCCAGGCAGAGCCCAGCACCAGCACCAAACCCUGCUGCUCUCACAGGAUUGCACCAAAUCCAUGCUGUUCACUUGUAUAUUUUAUAACCAAUAAAUAUAUUCUCACCUUUUCCUCUUGGUAGAGCUUUAUUUAUCAGCCAGUGCCUCACAGAGCAGAACAGAA
rnacentral:lncRNA from 12 species